rnacentral:rRNA from 1 species
CGCUAUCACUCCUACGGGAGGCAGCAGUGGGGAAUAUUGCACAAUGGGCGCAAGCCUGAUGCAGCCAUGCCGCGUGUAUGAAGAAGGCCUUCGGGUUGUAAAGUACUUUCAGCAGUGAGGAAGGCGGGUACGUUAAUAGCGUGCUCGUUUGACGUUUAGCUGCAGAAGAAGCACCGGCUAACUCCGUGCCAGCAGCCGCGGUAAUACGGAGGGUGCGAGCGUUAAUCGGAAUUACUGGGCGUAAAGCGCAUGCAGGUGGUUUGUUAAGUCAGAUGUGAAAGCCCGGGGCUCAACCUCGGAAUUGCAUUUGAAACUGGCAGACUAGAGUACUGUAGAGGGGGUAGAAUUUCAGGUGUAGCGGUGAAAUGCGUAGAGAUCUGAAGGAAUACCAGUGGCGAAGGCGGCCCCCUGGACAAAGACUGACGCUCAGAUGCGAAAGCGUGGGGAGCAAACAGGAUUAGAUACCCUGGUAG